UACGAGGAAACCGGAGCCGCCGCGCGGAGAGCACAGCGGACCUCUUCCCCGCGAGCGACCGGACGGAGCGGGACGCACGGCAGACGGAGACGGGGGGUGAGAGCGCGAGAGAGCGGGAAUCCGAGCUGUCGCCCCGGCACAGUUUGAAAACACGUUGCGUUUAAGAGCCGUUGAGAUGACGCGGUCCUAUUUGUGGACGCCCGCAGUGAUGCUUCUGGCUGCGUUUGUGGAGGUUUCUGUGCGAUGCCGCCACCAGUUGCAUUAAUAAAGUAUUCAUGGAAAACCCCCUAAAUCCAUUUUAAGCACCACUUCCUGUCAUUUAUUCUGACAACCUGCAGUUAUUAGCCUUCAGUACAUUUAGUUUUCCUCCUUCCUGAUUGAUUUAUGU
rnacentral:lncRNA from 1 species